rnacentral:rRNA from 1 species
CAGCAGCCGCGGUAAUACGUAGGUCCCGAGCGUUGUCCGGAUUUAUUGGGCGUAAAGCGAGCGCAGGCGGUUAGAUAAGUCUGAAGUUAAAGGCUGUGGCUUAACCAUAGUAUGCUUUGGAAACUGUUUAACUUGAGUGCAAGAGGGGAGAGUGGAAUUCCAUGUGUAGCGGUGAAAUGCGUAGAUAUAUGGAGGAACACCGGUGGCGAAAGCGGCUCUCUGGCUUGUAACUGACGCUGAGGCUCGAAAGCGUGGGGAGCAAACAGGAUUAGAUACCCCCGUAGUCCCUGUCUCUUAUACA